ensembl:snoRNA SNORD15 Small nucleolar RNA SNORD15
CUUCAGUGAUGAUCCGAUGACGAGUCAGAAGCGGACACCUCCCUGCUCAGAGUAGACAGCUCGGAGCCACGUUCUGUGGCACUGCGCUUACUGCUUUGGCAAAGGUGUCCUGUUCUUUGGAUGAUCUAGAGGCAUUUGUCUGAGAAGG